CUGAAAGAAAAGAACUGCCAACCCAGAAUUCAAGAUCCAUCUGGAAGAUCUUUUCUCAUGAAAAUAUCCUUCAGGAAUGGAAGAGAAAUCAAGACUUUGCAGAAGAAGGAAAAUUAAGACUAUUUGUCAGCAGCAGACACUCUGCAAAGGAGCUGCUAAAAGAAUUUUCUAAACCAAAAGGAAAAAAUAAAAAGAGAUUAGAACAUUAGUAAGGAACAAAGAACACAAUAAACAAAAAUAUUGAAAUUGACAAGCUGAUUCUGAAACCCACAUGGAAAUGGCAAGGACUUACAGUAGUCAAAACAGUCUUACAAAAGAACAAAGUUGGAGGACUAACAUUGCUUGAUUUUUGAGACAAUAUAAAGUUAUAAUUAUCAGGCUACUGGAGGCUUCUGCUACUGGCGCAGCUUAUGUCACACAUAAAAAAACCCAACAAUUCCUUUUUUGUCCAUAUGGGGCUCCUGAAGUCAAAAGCCUUAUGAAUGAAUUAUCUUCUGAACACUAUGGGUUAUUUCUGGUUCUUCUCAAGCCUGUGAUUCCAUCUUUUUGAAGCUAUGAAUAACUCUAGGAGUAAGGCAGAAAUGGACAGAGGAUGCAGUUGUGUUUUGCUCUUGAACACAAGAGGGGAUGGCCACUCGGGAGG
rnacentral:lncRNA from 1 species